AAGAGAAAUGAGUAUCAAAAGUUUAAAGGAGAUGGGUUCCCAUUCUGGAUCUCCAUCAUCCAUGUUACCCUGACUACUGAAGAAUCCUCAGACUUCAGUGGCUGGUUUACCAACUGCAGUCUUCAGAGCUGAAAAUUGCAAGUAAAGAAAAUCACUCGAUUCUUCAAGAUUCUACAGUCAAAUUAUUUGUGAGCGUUGUUUCUUUUUGGCUCUCAGAACAGUGGAGAUUAUCAACUGUGGUUCUGUCCUGGCCACAAGUAAGCUCCAAGAGCACUCCAAGGUUGUAAGAAUCCACAUGACAUUAUUAUGACACAACUUCAAAAUACCUACAGUAGAUUGAACUCAAGAAUUUCCACAGCUUUUCCCAUCUUUCCUGGGUUGAUUGUGAAAGACAUAAAUGCAGAUGCACUGAAGCAAUUCAUCUUAAAGAACCAAGACUCAGCUAGAACCCAGAAAAAAGUGAGUCCUCCACCUUCCUUCAAGUACCAUCCUGGUUCCCACUUCAAUUUAGCAUCCAAUAUUGAUGCAUGUUGACAUUUUCUUGCGCAGGGGAAGGCACUGUAAAAAACAAACCCAAAACAAAACAAUAUGCCCCAUGUCCAGCUAGAGAUCUCUAUAUUCUGAUAUCAAGACUAAGCUUGAUUAUAAGGAGAACAUUCAAUUGUUCCAGACAAAUAGAAUAUAUACAUUCUUAUGAAGGGGAAAUACUGCUGAUGAUAGAAAUUUAAGAAUGGUUCUCCUAAAAGCUCUACAAGCUUCUUAUGAAGGGGAAAUACUGCUGAUGAUAGAAAUUUAACAA